UACGUAGGUGGCAAGCGUUGUCCGGAAUUAUUGGGCGUAAAGCGCGCGCAGGCGGCCUUCCAAGUCCCGCGUGAAAUCGCCCGGCUCAACCGGGCGGGGUCGCGGGAGACUGGGGGGCUCGAGCGAGGGAGGGGGCAGUGGAAUUCCCGGUGUAGUGGUGGAAUGCGUAGAUAUCGGGAGGAACACCAGUGGCGAAGGCGGCUGCCUGGACCUCUGCUGACGCUGAGGCGCGAAAGCGUGGGGAGCGAUCCGG
rnacentral:rRNA from 1 species